rnacentral:lncRNA from 1 species
UGAUAAGUCUGUAUUUCAUCGCUUUUUGAGCAUGAAUUCAUCAUCUUUUCAGCAUCAUUCACUUGUUGAUUCGCAUCAUAUUGAUCCCUUUCUGCAUGUUUUACAUACUUAGGUAGGUUUUAUGCAUAUCAUGCAUAUCUUGCAUACAUUGUGCAUAUUUGGAGUGUUUCAGGUACUUAGGAGACAUGCAGAGCGAAGCAGAGGAACAAGCGUUACUCGACAUGCACAUGAUCACACGCACUCGACAUGCACAUGAUCACACGCACUCGAGUGAGCAGCAGACGUAUACGAUCGAGUAGCUGAUCGAGCAGAAGGG